AAAGAAACCACAUCAAAAUGCACUUAAACAGCUCAAUCAAUCAAGUUUUUUGGUAUGAUGUUUUUCUAAUCAUCAAGUACGAAAACCACACCAUUCUUCUUGAUGAAGUCAUGAGUUGUGUGAUCAACCACGUUUGUAUUGUUCAGCUCCAGAUUGUAGAAAUCCAUCUUAUCAUCUGUAAAUAGUGGUCCAGCAUGCCAUGUACCAUGACUCAAUUUAAUAAACUUUGGACCUGAAAUUCUGAAAGCCUGCACUUCAUCAACAGCAGGAGGCACAUAAAAAUGCCCACAAUGUGACUUCACAACAAUAUCAACAGCACCCUUGGUAUCAGUUGGAUCUACAAUCGAUGGCUUAGCAACUCCAAGAUACCAAACAUUGCCUCCAAUUGAUCCAAGACAUUGAGUGACAUUGGCAUGAUGUGUUAUCUUAGAAAAUUUGAGCGAUCGAUCUUUAAGUUGCAUAAUGUAAAACCUAGGAAUCCCAUUGCUCAAAUCAAGCUGAGCAUCACGAGGACCGAAUUCUUCCCCAUCUGGAGACGCUUCAAUGACCUGUCCAAACUCUUUAAAAGUUUCUGCGGUUGCUUCUAUAGGUUUCAGCUUCACGACUGACGGCGACGUCGUGCUAACGCCGGAAGAUUCCAUUGAUACAGAAAAGGAACGACGGCGAGUAGGCAAUAUGGGAAGGGAAAAGUAGUGAAUGGAUUGAUGAGUAGAUUCUGUGAGUGAUUUCACCGGAAAGGAAUCGGAACUACUAUCGGCGAUCGGAGAUCCGGCGAGUCGGCGAUGUAGCCUGACGGAUGGCGAAUAUAUGAAAGGCUUCAAUUUUAGCAUCUUUGAGCAUCACUCUACAAAUUGGA
rnacentral:misc_RNA from 1 species